rnacentral:rRNA from 1 species
AUUGAACGCUGGCGGCAUGCCUUACACAUGCAAGUCGAACGGUAACAGGUCUUCGGAUGCUGACGAGUGGCGAACGGGUGAGUAAUACAUCGGAACGUGCCUAGUAGUGGGGGAUAACUACUCGAAAGAGUGGCUAAUAUCGCAUGAGAUCUACGGAUGAAAGUAGGGGAUCGCAAGACCUUGUGCUACUAGAGCGGCCGAUGGCAGAUUAGGUAGUUGGUGGGGUAAAAGCUUACCAAGCCGACGAUCUGUAGCUGGUCUGAGAGGACGAUCAGCCACACUGGGACUGAGACACGGCCCAGACUCCUACGGGAGGCAGCAGUGGGGAAUUUUGGAAAAUGGGCGCAAGCCUGUUCCAGCAAGGCCGCGUGCAGGAUGAAGGCCUUCGGAUUGUAAACUGCUUUUGUACGGAACGAAAAGCCCUGGGUUAAUACCCUGGGGUCAUGACGGUACCGUAAGAAUAAGCACCGGCUAACUACGUGCCAGCAGCCGCCGUAA